UUUCCCGAAACACAUUCAGAGACACACCCGCCUUAUGAGGCUACAUUCAUCAAAGCUAGGGUCUUGUUUCCGUGUUGGAUAUGCAUUUAUCAAAUGCUGCAUCCAAAACAUUUUUUUUAAAAGAAAAAAAACAGAAAGUCAUGGUGCGUUUGCAUGUACUCAUAGACAU
rnacentral:ribozyme from 1 species